rnacentral:rRNA from 1 species
GAUGAACGCUAGCGACAGGCUUAACACAUGCAAGUCGAGGGGCAGCGGGGGAGGAAGCUUGCUUUCUCCUGCCGGCGACCGGCGCACGGGUGAGUAACACGUAUGCAACCUGGCCGUCACAGGUGGAUAACCGGAAGAAAUUCCGACUAAGACAGCAUAACACUCCUGAGGGACAUCCUUCGGGAGUCAAAGGAGGCGACUCCGGUGACGGAUGGGCAUGCGGCGCAUUAGGUAGUUGGUAGGGUAACGGCCUACCAAGCCGACGAUGCGUAGGGGUUCUGAGAGGAAGGUCCCCCACAUUGGAACUGAGACACGGUCCAA